rnacentral:rRNA from 1 species
GAUGAACGCUGGCGGCGUGCCUAAUACAUGCAAGUCGAGCGAACAGACGAGGAGCUUGCUCCUCUGACGUUAGCGGCGGACGGGUGAGUAACACGUGGAUAACUUACCUAUAAGACUGGGAUAACUUCGGGAAACCGGAGCUAAUACCGGAUAAUAUAUUGAACCGCAUGGUUCAAUAGUGAAAGACGGUUUUGCUGUCACUUAUAGAUGGAACCGCGCCGCAUUAGCUAGUUGGUAAGGUAACGGCUUACCAAGGCAACGAUGCGUAGCCGACCUGAGAGGGUGAUCGGCCACACUGGAACUGAGACACGGUCCAGACUCCUACGGGAGGCAGCAGUAGGGAAUCUUCCGCAAUGGGCGAAAGCCUGACGGAGCAACGCCGCGUGAGUGAUGAAGGUCUUCGGAUCGUAAAACUCUGUUAUUAGGGAAGAACAAAUGUGUAAGUAACUAUGCACGUCUUGACGGUACCUAAUCAGAAAGCCACGGCUAACUACGUG